AAUGAACGUUGGCGGCGUGGAUUAGGCAUGCAAGUCGAGGGAGAACCCGCAAGGGGGACACCGGCGAACGGGGUAGGAAUACGUAGGCAACGUACCCUCAGAACGGGGAUAGCCACGGGAAACUGUGGGUAAUACCCGAUGAUCUGAUCUGGAUUAAGUUUCGGAUCAGCAAAGGUGAGACUCCGUCUGAGGAGCGGCUUACGCGAUAUUAGCUAGUUGGCGAGGUAAUGGCUCACCAAGGCGACGAUGUCUAGGGGGUGUGAGAGCAUGGCCCCCACCACUGGGACUGAGAUACUGCCCAGACACCUACGGGUGGCUGCAGUCGAGAAUCUUCGGCAAUGGGCGCAAGCCUGACCGAGCGACGCCGCGUGCGGGAUGAAGGCCUUCGGUUUGUAAACCGCUGUCGGGAGGGAUGAAGUGCAUGGGGGCUAUCCCCUGUGUUUGACAGAGCUCCGGAGGAAGCACGGGCUAAGUUCGUGCCAGCAGCCGCGGUAACAC
rnacentral:rRNA from 1 species